GCUUCUGUGGCCUAGUGGUUAGAGCGUCCGCCGCCUCGGAUGCGGAAGGUUAUGGGUUCGAACUCCAGCCGAGUCA